rfam:Schistosoma margrebowiei strain Zambia genome assembly, scaffold: SMRZ_contig0005769
ACCCAGCUGAUGAGUCUCAGAUAAGACGAAACGCGUGUCUUGGUU